AUUGAACGCUAGCGGCAUGCUUUACACAUGCAAGUCGAACGGUAACAGGCCUUCGGGUGCUGACGAGUGGCGAACGGGUGAGUAAUGCAUCGGAACGUGCCCAGAGGUGGGGGAUAACGCAGCGAAAGCUGUGCUAAUACCGCAUGUGAUCUGAGGAUGAAAGCGGGGGACCAGGCAGCAAUGUUUGGCCUCGCGCCUUUGGAGCGGCCGAUGUCAGAUUAGGUAGUUGGUGGGGUAAAGGCCUACCAAGCCGACGAUCUGUAGCUGGUCUGAGAGGACGACCAGCCACACUGGGACUGAGACACGGCCCAGACUCCUACGGGAGGCAGCAGUGGGGAAUUUUGGACAAUGGGCGCAAGCCUGAUCCAGCAAUGCCGCGUGCGGGAAGAAGGCCUUCGGGUUGUAAACCGCUUUUGUACGGAACGAAAAGGCUCUGGCUAAUACCUGGGGCUGAUGACGGUACCGUAAGAAUAAGCACCGGCUAACUACGUG
rnacentral:rRNA from 1 species